UAUUACUUGAAUAAUUGCAUU
ensembl:piRNA 21ur-13495 ncRNA